AGAGUUUGAUCCUGGCUCAGGAUGAACGCUGACGGAAUGCUUAACACAUGCAAGUCAUCCAGAAAUUAUCUUCGGAUAAGAUUAUGGGGGCGGACGGGUGAGUAACGCGUGAGAAACCUGCCCUACAAAUUGGGAUAACCAGCCGAAAGGCUAGCUAACACCGAAUAACAUAUAUUAUAGGCAUCUAUGAUAUAUCAAUGUAGGAGGGUCUCGCGUUCUAUUAGCUAGUUGGUAGGGUAACGGCCUACCAAGGCGACGAUAGAUAGCCGGCCUGAGAGGGUGUACGGCCACAAGGGAACUGAGACACGGUCCUUACUCCUACGGGAGGCAGCAGUGGGGAAUCUUGGACAAUGGGCGACUAUAGCCUGAUCCAGCAAUUCCGUGUGAAUGAUGAAGGCCUUCGGGUUGUAAAGUUCUUUCGCUAGGGAAGAAAGAAAUGACGGUACCUAGAUAAGAAGCAGCGGCUAAUUACGUGCCAGCAGCCGCGGUAAUACGUAAGCUGCAAGCGUUAUCCGGAAUCACUGGGCGUAAAGGGCGUCUAGGCGGCUAAACAAGUCAGAGGUGAAAAGUCAGGGCUCAACCUUGGCCUGGCCUUUGAAACUGGGUAGCUAGAGUACAGAAGAGGAGGGCGGAACUACAAGUGUAGCGGUGAAAUGCGUAGAUAUUUGUAGGAAUGCCGAUGAUGAAGGUAGCUCUCUAGUCUGAAACUGACGCUGAAGCGCGAAAGCUAGGGUAGCAAACAGGAUUAGAUACCCUGGUAGUCCUAGCCGUAAACGAUGGAUACUGGGUAUGGGUGUUCGAGCAUCUGUGCCGAAGUUAACGCGAUAAGUAUCCCGCCUGGGGAGUACGGUCGCAAGACUAAAACUCAAAGGAAUUGACGGGGACCCGCACAAGCGGUGGAGCAUGUGGUUUAAUUCGACGCAACGCGAGGAACCUUACCAGGUCUUGACAUCCUAAGAAUUCCGUAGAGAUAUGGAAGUGCCUUUCGGGGAACUUAGAGACAGGUGGUGCAUGGCUGUCGUCAGCUCGUGCCGUGAGGUGUUGGGUUAAGUCCCGCAACGAGCGCAACCCUUGUCGUUAGUUACCAUCAUUAAGUUGGGGACUCUAGCGAGACUGCCUGCGAAGAGCAGGAGGAAGGUGGGGAUGACGUCAAGUCAUCAUGCCCCUUAUGACCUGGGCUACACACGUGCUACAAUGGGCGGCACGAAGAGAAGCGAAACCGCGAGGUGGAGCGAAACUCAUAAAACCGUUCUAAGUUCGGAUUGAAGUCUGCAACUCGACUUCAUGAAGCUGGAAUCGCUAGUAAUCGCAAAUCAGCAAUGUUGCGGUGAAUACGUUCUCGGGUCUUGUACACACCGCCCGUCACACCACGAGAGUUUUUUGCACCUGAAGUUGCUGGCCCAACUGCUUGCAGAGGGAGGUACCUAAGGUGUGGAGAGUGGUUGGGGUGAAGUCGAAACAAGGUA
rnacentral:rRNA from 1 species